AACAAACCUGUCUCCAGAACCCAAACUGCCUGCUUGAAGAUGAACACGGAUGACGCAAUAAAAGUCUCCAUUUACAACAAAGGCCAUGAUGAAGAACUCUAUCAUGCACACAGAGAAUAGAGCUCAGUGCUGCUAACUGGGAGAGCAGCUGGAAAACUG